GAGGAGAUCAAUUAUUUGAGAAAAACAAUCAUUGACAUCGAUGAUCCUGGUCAGAGGUUCAGGAAAAGGAGACGGCUCUGAUGAGGAAUAUAUUCCUCACCUUUGUUUAUGGACAACUUCAGACUUCGAGAACUUCCAAAAUCACAUCCUGAUGUUUGCAGGAAAGCAUUUUGGCUUUAGCCCACCUGUAUACACAGCUCAGACGUUGCUUGUAACACUUGGUUACAACCACCGCCUCCCUGCACGAAACCGUGAUGGGACACAAGAUUUACCGAUGGUUCUACAAUAAAAACAUGAAGAGCUGAAGUGUGUAUACCCUGAAAGAGAAAAAGGACUAUGGCUACUGUACAUCCCUGAACUACAGAAGGCCACUCUUUCAAAGAGGCUUCAGAGUGGAAAGGGCCUUCCCAGGAGACAGAGUCUGAGGCCUGGAGAUCCAAGGCCCCUGGGUCUGCUGCCAUAU